ensembl:lncRNA
CACCACCCACACACACACACUCACACACACACUCGCACACACUUAGUCACUUACACUCACACACACACUCACAUAACUUAUACCCACUCACACACACACACUUAGUCACACACACUCACACACACACUCGCACACUCGCACACACUUAGUCACUUACACUCACACACACACUCACAUAACUUAUACCCACUCACACACACACACUUAGUCACUCACUCACACACACACACACACCCCCUCACACUCACACACUCGCGCGCACACACCUCCCGGCCCCUCCCCACCACCCCCCGCAGCGGCGCUCACCGGCGCAGGUGGCCGCGGCCCAGCAGAGCAUCAGGGCGCCCAGGCCCGGGACUCCCAUGGCCCCGCAGGCCGGCGGCCGUCUAACAGUCCGCGGGGCCGCGGGAGGACGCUCCUGGGCCGCCCCGUCCGUGGGUCCCUGGGUCUGCCGCACUGCCCGCGGCCCGGCCGGUCCCACUCCCUCCCGCCCCGCCCCGGAGCCGCUCCUCUUUCACUUUCGCUCCCUCCGAAACGGAAACCGCGGCAGGGGAGGGAGCCAGGCUGGGGGCAGGGAGCCAGGGGUGGGGGCAGGGAGCCAGGGGUGGGGGAGGGAGCCAGGCUGGGGGAGGGAGCCAGGUGGGGCCGAGGCUGCUGGCCGCCCUCCCCUCCGCCGCCCCCACUUCCCCCAGCCCUGCGCGGAGGCGUGAGGAAGGUCUGGAGCCGGGGCCCGCGUGGGGCCGGAGGGGGCGGCGCAGCCCGGGAGACGCUGGGCAGGGAGCGCCGGAGGGCCCGGGAGGGCCGGGAAGCUGGGCCCCUGCGGGGAGGCGCCAGGCUCUGGGCCUGGCCAGGUUCCCUGAUGCUCCGGCUCCGGGAGGCAGCGGUGGGGCCCCGCCCCAGAAGCACGACCCUCCGCAGGCCCCCUCUCCCUCCCUGGGGGGCCCUUUUACUUCGGUUUCGGGGGGGGGGGGCGACUGGGCGUAAGGAAAAAAUUCCCUGGACAAAAAGUGGCCGGAACCAGUUAACCGGGCCGGGCCGGGCCGGGCCGGGCGGGGUGGGGCCGCCCAGGUUAGAGCUUGUUAGUAGCGAGUCUUUGGGGGAGGAUUGAGGGGCGUAGCCCGAGGUGAAAUCUGGGCAUCCCGGGACCCCCAGAAAGCAGAAGCUUAGGGAAGUUAAGGCGAGGGGAGGGAGGGGGCCCCGCCGGCCGCGGGCAGCUGGGAGUCCGGGCUGGGGCGCUUGGGGCUCCCGGCGGGCCCCGGGACACGGGGCAGGACCCGGCUCGUCUGCGGAGGGAGAUAGAGAAGCCUGGGGGCAAUGGGAGAGUCCCCACCCCUGCUGCUGCGCCAAAGGCAGAGGCAGAACGGGUUUACAAGGAGCCCUUUGCGCAGAGACGCUCUCACCCUGUAGGGCCGGAGCGCUGAGCGACGCUGCAGAUGUGCCGGAGCCCGGUGAGCCCCGGGGCGCUCAGUGUCUCCCUGGCACUGGGGGUCGCCCGCGGCCGCCCGCCCCUGCCUGGGCAUUAACGGCCCGGUGCCAUGUUCUGUAACCCUAGGCCUUGCCCCUCUGAGCGGCGGGCAGAGGCGUGAGGUCUCCUGGGCCCCGAGCCGGGAGCCCGCCCAAGGCCGUCCAGGAGGAGGCUGACCUCCCAAGGCCUGAGUCUGCGGCCUCUCGCCGCCUCUGGCUCUUUGCCCGGCCCGGCGGGUGCUUAGUCCAGACCAAGCUCAAACGUGCUUCCAAGAUGGCGCUUUCUCGGAGCUGCACCGGAGGGGGCUGCCGGGCUUGGGCCAAAGGUGGGAGUCUCCCCCUGAACACAGCCCCUAAGACAGGGGCACGCACCCAGUUGGGGUUCCAGGAGCGGGUGCUCACAAGCACCGACAGCCAUUGAGAGCAGCCCAGGAUUCCAGGCCCACAACUGAGGCAAGGAAGGGCCCCUGCCCCCUGUGCCCAUCAUGCAGAGAGUGCCUCCAGGCCCGCCCCCUGGGCCUCGAAGGAAAAGCAGAAAGACCUUGGAGGCUGGGCCAGGGCCAGGGAUUCUCUUGGCCAGAGAGAGCCAUCUGGCUCGGAGGAUGAGCCAAGUCCCCUGCGAGGGUGAUGGGGAGAGCCUUUCUCAAGAAGCAGACAGCCACAAACAUGGAAGGCUGGAGUGUGAGCUGUGCAAAUGGUGGCAAAUAAAAAGAGCUUCCCUUUGCUGUCCCCGCCAACCCUACAAGAGCAUGAUCAGCAGGAGGGGGAGCCCAGCUUUCUGGCCUACAGAUCCUUUCUGACCAUCGGAGUGACCCGUCCUUCUCCAACCUCAUGGCGACUCUCUCGUCACCAAUCAUUGGCAGCAACGCGGCCAUCAAUCUUUCCUGUCAGUUCUUUCUACCCCUUGGAAAGUAAUUGCACUUAUCAGAGACCUGUCACACACAGUAGGUGCUUAAUAAAUACUGAUUGCCCGAGUGACCCGGCAAAAGGAGCCGAUGGUGCAGAGCUGGCCCACUCUGAAGAAGCUCCAUCAUUUACACCGAGACCUUGGGACUCUGCCCCUUCACCAUUUGUUGUGGUCUCUGUCC